rnacentral:rRNA from 1 species
UACGGAGGGGGCUAGCGUUGUUCGGAAUUACUGGGCGUAAAGCGCGCGUAGGCGGACCUGCAAGUCGGGGGUGAAAGCCCGAGGCUCAACCUCGGAACUGCCUUCGAUACUGCGGGUCUCGAGUCCGGGAGAGGUGAGUGGAAUUCCUAGUGUAGAGGUGAAAUUCGUAGAUAUUAGGAAGAACACCGGUGGCGAAGGCGGGACUCUGGGCCGAUACUGACGCUGAGGAGCGAAAGCGUGGGGAGCGAACAGG